rnacentral:rRNA from 1 species
AUUGAACGCUGGCGGCAUGCUUUACACAUGCAAGUCGAACGGUAACAGGCCUUCGGGUGCUGACGAGUGGCGAACGGGUGAGUAAUGCAUCGGAACGUACCCAGAGGUGGGGGAUAACGCAGCGAAAGCUGUGCUAAUACCGCAUGUGAUCUGAGGAUGAAAGCGGGGGACCGAGCAGCAAUGUUUGGCCUCGCGCCUUUGGAGCGGCCGAUGUCGGAUUAGCUAGUUGGUGGGGUAAAGGCCUACCAAGGCGACGAUCCGUAGCUGGUCUGAGAGGACGACCAGCCACACGGGGACUGGGACACGGCCCAGACUCCUACGGGAGGCAGCAGUGGGGAAUUUUGGACAAUGGGCGCAAGCCUGAUCCAGCAAUGCCGCGUGCGGGAAGAAGGCCUUCGGGUUGUAAACCGCUUUUGGCAGGAACGAAACGGUGUCCGCUAAUACCGGGCGCUAAUGACGGUACCUGCAGAAUAAGCACCGGCUAACUACGUG